CCAAACCCCAAACCCCAAACCCCAAACCCCAAACCCAAAACCCUAAACCCUCAAAACCCUAAACCCUCAAAACCCUAAACCCUAAACCCUAAACCCAAGACCCUAAAACCCAAGACCCUAAAACCCUUAAACCCUAAAACCCUUAAACCCUAAACCCUUAAACCCUAAACCCUAAACCCUAAACCCUAAACCCUAAACCCUAAACCCUAAACCCUAAACCGUACACCCUAAACACCCUAAACCCUAAACCCUAAACCCUAAACCCCAAAACCUAAAACCCGUUAUUGCUACAGUAAAAAAACUCUCUCAACUUUGGUUACUGUUCAUGCAACUUUGACCAGCGUUGACCCCGCGUUGACCAGACUUUGACCGGCCAUUAUGGCCUCACCGGAAGGUGGUGAUGAUGAUCGGCCACCCUCCAACCCUCCCCCCUCAUGCCGGCGACCAACAUACUCACCGGCCGCACCUAGAUCUACCACCUUUACCCCCACAAAUCCACUCAAAAGCUCGGCCUUCCUCCUCCACCGUCCUCCCGGAAAAUACCAUCGUUUUGGCACUUUCUGGGCACACAUCCGAGCUGCCGACGCCCUCCCUGCCUCCCCAUGACACAAACCGACCACCCAAAACGAAAAAAAACAGUCAAAAACCAAACCCAGUUCACGGGUUCCUUUCCCCCCCACGGUGGAUGCUGUGCCACCAACCUUGCCCACUUCGGGCGAUGCUCAACAACUCCUAACCAUCCCUGCAAACCAGCCAUGCAAUGAGUUCGCCAUGCCCACCCUCGCUGCAUCUGGAUCGGGCAACAUCAGCCCGCGACAGUCGCAACUCCACAUCGCUUCUGCGCAACUUCCAGUCACUGUCCAAGGUCACUCUAGCCUUGAGGAACCUACCCAUGACGAUCUGAACCAGCCCUCCUAUGCUCAGAACAGUGACUUUGCCGCGCCUCUGCUUGCUGCUCCUGGAUCGAGCAACUCACACCCGCGGCCUGUGCAACUUCGAUCUGCAGCGGAGCAAGUUCCAGCAACCAUUACCGACCAACCUGGCCUUCAGGAACCAGUUCAUGAUGACUUGAAUCAGCCACCCAACUGUUAGUUCCCGGAACCCACGUUGGCAGCAGCUGCAGAAACUUCCAGCCGCGCCGAGUUCAUCUCCACCUUGACAGCAUCCAUCGCCGCGGCCGUUGACGCCUUGCUCCGGCCGAACUCAUCACCUCCAACAUCAAUAUCCCCCAUCCAGCCAAUCCUACCCAUGUCAGACCACUCCCCAGCCGCAGCCAAAGAAACGAACCAGCCGGCCCUAAAAUCCCAAACAUCACAAAACCCUAAUCUCCACCCGUUUCCACCCAUCACAGCCCGAGCCCAUAACCAAACCCAAACCCAUGACCCGAGAAACCCAACCCAUACCCGUGCCCAUCUCAAAACCCAAACCCCAACCCUUGAGGCCACCCAAACCCGUACCCACCAAACCCAUCCUACCACCCAAAUCCAACAACCCUUAAACCAA
rnacentral:lncRNA from 1 species